UAAGGCAAUCUAUGACUCUGAUGGACA
rnacentral:piRNA from 1 species